rnacentral:rRNA from 1 species
GAGUUUGAUCUUGGCUCAGGACGAACGCUGGCGGCGUGCCUAAUACAUGCAAGUCGAGCGAAUGGAGAAGAAGCUUGCUUCUUCAACGUUAGCGGCGGACGGGUGAGUAACACGUGGGCAAUCUGCCCGUAAGACUGGGAUAACUCCGGGAAACCGGGGCUAAUACCGGAUAAUUCCGAUCCUCUCCUGAGGAUCGGCUGAAAGACGGUUUCGGCUGUCACUUACGGAUGAGCCCGCGGCGCAUUAGCUAGUUGGUGGGGUAACGGCCCACCAAGGCGACGAUGCGUAGCCGACCUGAGAGGGUGAUCGGCCACACUGGGACUGAGACACGGCCCAGACUCCUACGGGAGGCAGCAGUAGGGAAUCUUCCGCAAUGGACGAAAGUCUGACGGAGCAACGCCGCGUGAGUGAAGAAGGUUUUCGGAUCGUAAAACUCUGUUGUUAGGGAAGAACACGUAUGGGAGUAACUGCCCGUACCUUGACGGUACCUAACCAGAAAGCCACGGCUAACUACGUGCCAGCCGCCGCUGUAAU